UUGGGAGGAGGCUUUGGAUCAACAUGG
rnacentral:piRNA from 1 species